CCUGCCAUGCCUUUAGCUAACUACGUGCUUUAGUAGGACUAGAAGUUAUAACUGUUUGAACAGUAACGUUAGCUACUUGCAUACUGUUGAGUGACAACUUCAUUUUUAACAUUAGCCUAGUUAGCUAGCUAGCUACUUGUUGUAAAUACCAGUGCUUGUGUUCAAACUGUUACAGGGUCUGAUGACAAUACCAGGCAUUUAAUUCAGUGGAGAACACGGCAGGAGAAAUGACGCAAAAGACCUACGUGAAGGAGUGUGAGCUGGAGGGGCAGCUAUCACAUGCAUGGGUGAAAUAGUGUGAGAACCAUAAG